GACGAACGCUGGCGGCGUGCUUAACACAUGCAAGUCGAACGGAAAGGCCCUGCUUUUGUGGGGUGCUCGAGUGGCGAACGGGUGAGUAACACGUGAGUAACCUGCCCUUGACUUUGGGAUAACUUCAGGAAACUGGGGCUAAUACCGGAUAGGAGCUCCUGCUGCAUGGUGGGGGUUGGAAAGUUUCGGCGGUUGGGGAUGGACUCGCGGCUUAUCAGCUUGUUGGUGGGGUAGUGGCUUACCAAGGCUUUGACGGGUAGCCGGCCUGAGAGGGUGACCGGACCCAUUGGGACUGAGAUAAGACACAGACUCCUACGGGAGGCAGCAGUGGGGAAUAUUGCACAAUGGGCGGAAGCCUGAUGCAGCAACGCCGCGUGCGGGAUGACGGCAUUCGGGUUGUAAACCGCUUUCGCCUGUGACGAAGCGUGAGUGACGGUAAUGGGUAAAGAAGCACCGGCUAACUACGUG
rnacentral:rRNA from 1 species